rnacentral:rRNA from 1 species
CGUGGGGAACCUGCCCCAUAGUCUGGGAUACCACUUGGAAACAGGUGCUAAUACCGGAUAAGAAAGCAGAUCGCAUGAUCAGCUUUUAAAAGGCGGCGUAAGCUGUCGCUAUGGGAUGGCCCCGCGGUGCAUUAGCUAGUUGGUAAGGUAAAGGCUUACCAAGGCGAUGAUGCAUAGCCGAGUUGAGAGACUGAUCGGCCACAUUGGGACUGAGACACGGCCCAAACUCCUACGGGAGGCAGCAGCG